GUGUUAUGAUUGAGAAAAAUAUGAACUUGUGUAUGAAUUACUAUUUUUUAUGCUGUGUUAGCCAACGCUUGUUAAAUAGAGGAAUUCAAUUGCGUUGAGUGAUUGUUAUAUGUAGGUGUUUCCAGUACUUCAAGUGGUGGCAAGUUAAUUAGUAGACUCUCUAUAUGACGCUAAAUGUCUAGGUAGAAUUCUGAAAUUUGUGGUGCCCAAAUUGUCGAGUUAGAGGUUUAAUUCAAUCGAUGCCGAUUAAGUGGCUGAAAAUAACUAGUAAAGAAGUUGUAGAUGUAAAACUAGAAACUAGUAUGCAUAUGUCCUCGUAUGAUGUUGUGGUCUAAAUGCGUAUGUUUAUGGUCGUGAUGAAAAGUAGUAGUGCUCAGGUGAUGUCUAAAUUAAAAUGCAAACUAUUGGUGAAAAGCGCUUUGAUAUUGAUUGUUAUAGAGAAUGCAUUGUUAAUUGAGUAUGGUGCUUUUAGUGCGCAAAAUAACUUAUAUAAGAAUUAGUAAGUCUACUUGUUAGUUCUCACUUGGUUAUUUUAACUCUAACAAAUGUCAAAGUGUUAUAAUAAUUCAAGUCUCUAGAACGCGGCAAUUCUGGAAUUGUAUAGAAGCUGAAAUGUGUUGAUUGCUGUUUUGGGCUGCACGUACUGUAUUCGGUGUGCUUUAUGUUUGAUGAACUAGAUUGUGUUUUCUGUAGAUAUGUGCUAUAGAAAAGUGGUAGAUAACCUUAUUAUCUUGCUGGUGUUAAAAUUUGACAGCCAUAGGUCUGACGGUUUAGGAGUUAGGAUUUUUACAAAUUCAGUAACUUAAUCUGUCCAAAUUCUGUACAGAUUUCAGAAACUGCAUUGUUUGCUCAAUUUAAUGUUGCAAUCUGUUCAUGGUCGUUAUAAGAAAGUUGUAGAUGCUUUUCUGAUCUUGCUUGUGUUAAAAUUUCAUAACUAAAGGUCUGACGGUUUAGGAGUUAUGAAAUUUGCAAACUGAUUGCUGUGUUCUGUCCUCUGUCAGAACAGAUUUCGAAAACUGUAAUGUUUGAUUUGAUUAAACCUAGAAUCACUUCUUGGUGAUUAUAAAAUUUAUAUAGUGCUUUUUCCAAGCUUUCCAAAAAGUCUUGGAUCACUAUUUUUGGUGGUCUGAAGAUUAAGUUACAUGUGUUUGAAGUGUGAAGACUGAAUCUGUCCAGUUUUGGACAGCACAGCCUUCAUAAUAUAUUUUACCCUUGAUACAUACUAAACCAGCCAGGGAUGUUUAUAAAUAAUUGGUAGAGCAGUUAAUUAGCUUUCCAGAAAGUCUAAGAUCACCUUGUUUUGAUGUCUGAAUCUUCAGUUAUGAAUUUUUAAAGUCACAAGUCUGAAUCUGUCCAAAUCUGGACAACACUGUUGUGUUAACACCUUUUGACCUUGCUAAGUGUUUAAUCAUGCUGUGAUGACAAUACCAAAGUUGUAAAGCACUUUUCAAGCUUUCUAGAAAGUCCUAGUUUACUAUUUUUAGGUAAAUAUCUUGUGAGUUAUGACUGAAACAAGUGACUGCUGUAUUGCUGUCCAAAAAUUCUGCUAGUGCGUUUUUGAUUGUUUAGUUCACCCUUCUCGCUAAAAACGUUUGGCUUGCUCUUAAAUAAAUGUAGACUUGCCAUGACUAAGCUUAAUAUCGCCUAAGUGUCCUGUUUUAUAUGUUUCUGCUCUAGUUGAUUAGGAUCUAGGAGUUCCGUAGUUAGUGAUGCCUAUGUCGUAUUCCAGCUUACGUUGUCUUGGUUGGACUUGUGUGGUCGGUGAUACUUUUGCGCGAUUAAUCGGAGAACUAAUAAAAAGCCGUAUCCAAAUAAAUAAAAUGUGUGUACUUGUCAUAUCGUAAUUGUGUUGCGUAAAGAAAUAAAAUGUGGUCGUCUUGUUAAUGGUGUUAAUGAUGAACGCCGAUAACAUACGAAUAGCUAGCGCUUGUGUAUAGUCGUUGCGGUGUCUUACAAUUAAAUGUUAGUUUGCUACCAUGUAUUUAUAUAGCUUGUUAUAUUUUUCAUUGUAUUCAUACAUAUGCAUCCUGCAUCUCAUUUAGGACCGAGAGGUGACGACCGUGCAAGUGAUGUGGUGCCAACCCCAAGAUGCAGUCGGUGGACGACCCAAGGAAGGAUGGACAUAACCAGUGGAUGCUCGCCAAGCGAGUACCUCCCCCAGCAAACACUAUCUAAGUGUCAAAUUAAAGGCAAGCCCCGGUUUUAUGCAUAACCGUUUAUAUAUACUAUUUUACUACACUUAAUGUUUGUAGGCUUGUACUGUGCACUUAAGUGUAGGAGUUGACUGGAACCUUAGUUGCAUGAACUCAGGAUUCCUUUUGAGAUGGAUACUAGUAUGCUAGGUCGAGUAGCUGCUUUAAUAAUUAGGGAUCUCGGUAGAAGUCGAGUGAUUUUUCUAGCACUCGCGCGAGGUCAGGAAUUGGUUGUAUCCAUUUUCAUAUCGUAAUGAUGAUGGUCUGUUGACGAUGGUCCAUGGGGAUGCGUCGUCUUCGAGACGGAAAUUGGAAUAAGGAUUAAGGUGUGGUACCGUGUGUCAAGCGUUUGAACGUACUAAACAUAUGCCGAGAAAUAUGGUAAAUCGGUAAGCCUAGUACCUGAUUGAACCCGGCAGCAGAUUGCCCUCCUCAUGCGACCUGAGACGAGGUCUCCCAUUCCGGUUAUGGUGGGUACAAGUGCGGUCACUGCACGACGGCCAGUCGGGGUCAGUGAGGCAUUGUACGCCAAGGCGGUGAGCCCCUCUCUGCUGACGGGGAAUCGAUGGGGACGGUUGAUAUGUGUGGGGACGGAGUGCCCCUGCAUGUCGUGUGUUUAGGUUUACCUUGCAAGGUUUAAAAACUCGAUUCGAAUCGUCUGCUUCUCGCAGCUAAUGAGACUGCUUGAUCCAUGCUGCUACAUUGAGUAAUAAGUGGAAAUGAGGUGACUGGAAAAAGAUGUUGAUUGCUUAAAAAUGUUUGAUAUCAUGUAUGAGUAGCUAGGUACUCAUCUAGUUUAAAAAGGAUCAUACUAAAACUUGAAAAGCUAAAACUUGAUUUUAGACUCAGCUAGUGCUUUUGGCAAACCAAACCCCUCAGCCAAACAGCUGCAUGUCUAGAGGUAGAGGAGUAGACUCCUCACACCGGGUAAGUCUAGCUGAGUAUUAGUAUACUCAGCCUUGCUUGUGGCACAAUUUUUGCAGGUACCUCCUUGUUGUGGUUGAUGGUGUGACUUGGCCUCCAUCCCUGCCACCGGGAUAGACAGUCAAGUGGGUUAUUGCUUCCGCAGGAGAGGACCAGGAGGAGUAGUGUGGCCAGGCUUCGCCAUGUUACUCGGUUCUUCUCCGUUAGUUAUUUCCGCUGCAUUAAAAUUUAUGGUUAUUAUUUCUGAAACUCCGAUAAUGUAAUCACUAAUGAUACUUAUUAAAUUUGUGGUAUUAUGUUU
rnacentral:lncRNA from 7 species